AUGUACUUAAAUAUAUCAUAUUUCAUCUUUCAGCAUUACCAAAAUCUCAUGCUUAUUGAUUUUCUUCAUAAUUGCUUCAUGGCCAUUAAAGUUUGGCAUUCCUCCAAGGCUUCUUUUUCUUCAAAGCUUCUCUCUGUGAAUUCUAUUCCAAGUCAUGCCACGAUUUCUCCUUGCUAUCUUCCUCCCAUCAAUCCAUUUUUCGCAUCACAUGAAAACAAAUAA